UACAGAGGUCUCAAGCGUUGUUCGGAUUCAUUGGGCGUAAAGGGUGCGUAGGCGGCGCGGUAAGUCGGGUGUGAAAUCUCGGAGCUUAACUCCGAAACUGCAUUCGAUACUGCCGUGCUUGAGGACUGGAGAGGAGACUGGAAUUUACGGUGUAGCGGUGAAAUGCGUAGAUAUCGCAAGGAAGACCAGUGGCGAAGGCGGGUCUCUGGACAGUUCCUGACACUGAGACACGAAGGCCAGGGGAGCAAACGGG
rnacentral:rRNA from 1 species